ensembl:lncRNA
GUUCUCUCCUGCCUGCAAAUAUGGCAUCAGGAAACAUAAACACCUACAAGAUAAAAGCAAAACCUAAUCCUAGAAAAACAAGCCUGACUAUUUACUCACCCAGAUCUAACUCUGGACUAGACCCAUGCAACUCACACCAGAGCCUACCAGCAGCUACUGCUGGUCAUGCUGCUAUGAGAACUGCCUUCACAGAGAGCCUAAAAAUCAGGCAGGAAAUCAGAUACAAAGAAGAACAUGGGGUAACAAGACAGUGACACUUUCCUGUAAGAAGACCAUAAAUCUUUAUACAAGGGGGCGGACUGGAGAACGUCAGGGGUUUCCAUGUGUGAGUGUUUAAAAUAAAACCUUAUUCAUGCUGGAGUGGGGAAGAAAAGAACUGGCAAGCUGGGAACACAAAAAGAAAAAAGGAGGAACCUUAAAAUAUGAGGUUUGACUGGGUCUUGAGCUCUGAAGCAAUCAGUGUUUUUUUCUGUUCUUUUUGUUCCCUCAUCAACUGGACCAGAACACUAUAUCUCUAGGAAGAGUCUGCUCAGUUGCUUGAAGCAUGUACAUCCGUGUAGCCAAGGGAGAAACUGACCAAUAGCCUCAAUGGUGAUUAGAAGACAAUUGGUCCCUCGAACUUGUCUUCCAAAGUGAGAGCACCUGGCAGCUUCUGGCAGCUUUCUGUUCCUUCUCUGAAACAAUACAUGCCAUGAUGGUGGGAAAACGGGAUUCCAGCACAGCACUUCUCAGAAAUAACAACAUGAUUGUGACUUCUUUAGUUCAAAGGUCUGAAGCAAUAUGGAAAAGAUGACCUACAUAAUGACCAAACCAAAACUUUGUCACUCUACAGUGGUUCCUCAAAUCCUGCUUUGACAUCAAGCAGCUUCAAUGCAGGUACCAAGAAGGGAGCAGAGAGGAAAGGAUAAUUGGGUCCGUGCUCCCAUUUGAAAGGGAGCUUAUGUUUUCCUGCAACUUUGAUGGAGAUUAAAUAUGUCUUGGCUACUUGGCUCUGACCACAUGAAAUACAGCAUCUAGAGAGACUUUGUGAGCAAGGGCUUGACAGGCAGACAUUUAAGAUCGUUGGUCAUCUUUGCAUCUUUUAAAGUAGAAGCGAUAUCUCAGUAAGGGAUGAUUUUACACUAUUAAAAAAAAUAAUAAAAAAAAAAGGAAAGAAAAGAAAAGAAAAGAAAAGAAAAGAAAAGAAAAGAAAAGAAAAGAAAAGAAAAGAAAAGAAAAGAAAAGAAAAGAAAAGAAAAGAAAAGAAAAGAAAAGAAAAGAAAAGAAAAGAAAAGAAAAGAAAAGAAAAGAAAGAAGAGUUAUAACAGAAGUAAAAGAUACAGCCCCAAGCCCUGAAUCAUCAGGAAAACCAAACAAACUAGACUUUCACUGUUUGUGGUCACUGCUGAACACUUACAGUACAGUGUAGGAAAUGGACCACUCUCUAAUAUAAUGUGUUGCCCCAAGACACAGAAUGCUGCUAAAUAUCCUGGACAUUCUUUCUCACUCUGAGCUCUCUACGGUCUCUAUUAAGGCAAGCUCAUUCUGUGGAGAAUGAGAUAUUUUUCCAUGAACCACCUCUCUUCUCUAAAGGAUCUUCUCAGGGCAACUGCUAAAUUGUCCUGCGAGGCUGAAUAUGCUCUGAUGUCAGAGCAUACCAGCUGAAGUGUUCAGCAACGUAAAAUAAGCUGGAGAUGCUAUACAAGAAGAGUAUGUUGGUACUAAUUUUUUCCAAGUAAACCCAUUCAGGAUAAAAAUAACUUCCUUUUCUCUCUCUCUCUCUCUUUUUUUUUUUUUAAUAAUGUCAUAUUGCAUCAGCAGACUUACACAACACGUUAAAAAUCCCAGAGAAACAAUAUAUCAUACAUGAAGAGCUUCCUACCUAUUAGAUUCAUGCAGCAAAUGAAAUUCUAUGCAACUUCUUCCAGGAAAAUAGCUUGCGUACUCUGAAGCUAUAUCUAGGAUUUUUACAAACUGUUCUGCAUGAUUCACUCAGUGCUCGGUAGAUUAGAUGUUAUUGAAUUCACAUGAGUUCAUGUUAAAUAAAGUGAAACACAACAUCUGGGGCUACUCAUCACUCAAAGAUAUGACAUCCAUUGCCAAACACAAGAGUGAUUCAGUAAUGUUGUAAUUACCAAACUGGGUCAGUGGUGAAAUAGAAAGUGGGGAUUGUUAUAACACCAAGUCCUUAGAUUAUCUGUGAUCAGAAGAAACAAACAAUCAGAGUUUGUGAUAUAUGGCAAGCACCAAUGAUCCCGGACUGUGCACAAGACUGGCAUUUCAUCCUGUAAAAUUUAAUUGUACAGAAAAAUGUAAGAUGGAACAGCCUUGUCCUACCUGUUACAGUGGACUGAAUGGCCUAUGCUGAAAGUGCCACUGAAAUUCAACACACAUUGGGGAGACAAAGGAAACUGUGAGCACUAUAUCUGCUUCUUAUUUCUGACUCUAGUUUAAACUUCCAGUGAGUUCUUCCCAAAUGGCUGUUCAGAACUCUGUGUCUGUUCUGUGUUUUGCCAGGGCCAGGCAAAGGAACAGAAGCAAAGGAAAUGAACUAAAAAAAAACAAACAAGUAAAAAGCAAUCAUAUGUCAACUAAGACCCAGAAUAUGAGAUCAGUGCUUACUAAGCACAACUAGAACAAAGUAGAUAUCACACUAAGGGACAUGAUUUAGUGGACAUGGUGGCAAUAGGUUGAUGGUUGGACUGGAUGAUCUUAGUGGUCUUUCCAACCUCAAUGAUUCUGGCAUUCUAUGGAAAGUUGGGAGACUGCAGAUCCAGAUAAUUCAAGGCUGUGUUAUUCAUGGUAUGAUAGCCUGCACGUCAAAGGUCAAUCUCAAGCCUAUGCACCAUGCAAGCUAGAAAUGCUGAUGUGCAUGAAGAGGAGACAGGGCUAUGUGACUAACGUGGUUUGGCUUAUUUAGACUUUCCUAGCCUGCAGGACCAGAAGCAGUUGGGGAGAAGAGAGUGGCCUUUGGCACGCAUCUACUACCAGGCUCAAACUCAGAGUUUCCAUUCCAUAGGAAAACACCUCCACUGCUCAGUGCCCCACCCCCGGCAUGUGCAUACUCAUUCUUUGUUUUGAUAAGCAAAUCAAUGAGUGCUUUAAUGUACUAUACCUGGGGGAAUUUAACUCAGAAUUCUGUGCUCAGGUUCCAAGAGGAUGUAGUUAUUUUUUACACCAGUAAUUUGUGUUUUGUUCCUUUUCCAAAUAGGACAAAAAAAGUUAGAGGGUGGUUUUUUCCCUGGUUUCACUCCUAAAUCGCCAUUUAUACCCUGACAUCAGCUGACAUCAGUGGAAAUGUCAAAAAAUCUUCCUUUUGCAAGAUUUCAGAAACAAUGCAGAUAUAGAGAAAAUAAAAAUAAGGUAAGAAGGCACAGGAGUCACUGUCUUGCCCUUGCUCUUUUCCUCGAUACCACUCUCAUGAACAUCAAGUAGCCCUGCCUCACAGCCACCAAAGAAUGAACAUCUGGAUCCUCAUACUACAUUCACACCCUCUGCUCAGCUCCUAUCCAUCUGGAAGCAUCUAAAAGACAGUUUUGGCCUUAGUAUAAACAUCAAAUUUGCUUUUCUACAUAUGAAAAAGUACUUUUCUUUCAAGGGAACAGCAGCAAAGAGUAAUAACCAAAAUUAGAUAUUAGUUGUUUCUCACUUAAGAGGGCCUUGCUCUGAAAUCUGAACAGGUUUUGGGGAUGCUGAGCUAUGGGGCUGGUGAGUGUGAAAGAAGGUUCAAAGAAAUGGAGAGAUGAUUUCAAUAAAACCAGUCUUUCACAGUUGGGUGAAAAUAGCACAGCACCGUGGUUCAAAUCAGUAGUUGAUAACUGACAUUAACAGCCAUAUACCAAGUCACCCAGACCAAUUUUUCUUCCUCCCAAACUCUUUAUCUUAAUGUUCUUUAACUUACCUGCUGUUAUAGCAAAGACUUCUGCCAACUCUUUGCUCUGAUUUCCAGAUAUCUAAGAACACAGUGCUGAAGACGGGAGACUUCAGCAAGCUCUUCAGGCAAAAUUUGAGAAAUUUUAAUAGCAGAGGAGCUUAGGAGUGCAAAUGUCAACCUUUAUCUGUUACACCUUUCUAGGAGAGCUAUUUAUAAUGCACCUACCAACCCAGUUGGCACGAGUGAGGCAGGGCCAUGGGAUAGAAAUGGUCCACUUAGUGCUGAGGCUGGCACUUUGUGAGGCCACCUCGGGUCAGGGAAGAGAGAGAUGGAUCCUCCAUAAAUAGCAAAUGUCUCACAGCUUAAAAAUCGUGACAAGUCUUUCAUUUGAAACAACUGCAAGGAGGGUGCUGAGAAGACCGAAACUCCAAAUAUCCCUUGUUCAGCAAGCUGCCUGGCUGGGCUGAGAGCAUGUUGGAUCUUGCAGUCCUGGAGUCAAACAUGCUCCUCUGUUCACUCUUCCUUGAUUUUAUAGCUGCUUUUUAUAACAAGCACACAGGCACCUUACACCGCCGGGUGUGCACUGUAAUUAGAUUUUAGCUGCUGCUCCAAACUGCAGCUGGUAUUUUUAAAAAGCUGCAACGUUUUCCUUUCAGUUUUCACUACCCCUUGAGGCUACUUCUGGCAUUUUGGGGCAAAAAGAAAAGCAGAGCACCCAGAUGAAGCAUUUUUGAGUGUGUUUGUGUUUUUAUGGGAGAAGAGUGUUUGAACCACACCCGAGAAGGUUUUCACUAGAGCCAACCACCGUACUCAGAUAUGGAUUUAUAGGGCAGCAUCCAGCUCUCCUCCUGGGCCUGCCAAGACUCAUGUGUCAUAGAAUCACAGAAUCGUGGAAUGGCUUAGGUUGGAAGAGACCUUAAAGACAAUCGGUUCCACUGCCCUGCUGUGAGCAGGGCUGCCACCCAGCGGAUGAGGCUGCCCAGGGCCCCAUCCAGCCUGGCCUUGAAUGUCUUCAGGGAUGGGGAGAUGCCCCAAGCGCAAAAUGCACACAACCCAAUCCUCCUCCAGCAGCUACCACUGCCUCCUGGCAUCUCUGUGCCUCCUGCAUUGACUGCACAGCCCCUCUCUUUCUCAACCUCUGUCCACAACCUGGACCUGGGUAUCCCAGCAUGUGGGCUAUCUGAUCGGCCCUACUUCAGCCAUGGGCUCAGCUGUCCUGGCCUGGCCCCACCAGUGCUACAGUGAUUUAUUUACUUUUUCCUCCUCUGAGUGGCCACAUGCCCAUCAGUGAGCCCCUUCUUGUCAUCUGACCACAGAUAGCACUGACCGUGCAUCAAAGGGGAGGUCUGUAUUCGGUUGCAGAUGACAGCUAGCAAUCAGCUUUUUCCAUGUGUGCUGUUACUUAUACCACUUCAUUCAGGCCAGCAUUUGGCCAUUUUUAUCAACUCCAUCACUGCUAGCAUGAGACACAGACAUUACAGGCUCAGCAAAGGUGUGUGAGGCCCUCCAAGCUCGUUGAACUAAGGAUCACAUUCCAAACACUGUGCAGAUUUAGGGCCAUCAGAUCUGACCUCCUGAGUGAUGCAAGACAUUGACAUCCAUGUGGGCAUUCCUACAUUCAGCACUUGUCUGUCUGUGCAAGAUGGCAAACAGGGAACUGUAUGGAUCAGAUAGUUGAUCAUGAGGAGGUACCAGCACUGCAGAAAACAGGGCGAUUCACUGCUCCCAUCGCACCCAAUUCUGCCCUCUGAGACAGCAGCUAACUGAGUUUAAUGCCCUUGGAUUUAAGCAGCUGACAUAGGACCCAGCCCCCAGCCUUCAGAGUUCAAGGGGGAAUUCAGGAUGGCUCCUUCGUGAUCCUGCUUUUGGCAGUCACUUCUGAUAGAGUGGAGGAUGGCAGCAGAUGAAGAAGCAAGGGGCAAGCUGGACUGGUGCCCAGGGGCAAAGGAGUGCAUUCCUUAUGUUGUUAUAAGCACAAAUGGUAAUUACAAGAUAAUUUGGGUUGGAUUUCAAACAGCACUAAAGCCCCUUUCUGCCACUUUGGAGACAGAAGAUGACCUAGCUAAGUGGACAGAAAAAUCCCGUAAGGAGAUGGCCAUGGCAAGAGUGUGAGCAAGGAAGAAUAUGCUGACCCUCUCAAUGCCUUUCUAAAGGGCAGGGUCAAGAUAAAUAUAUCCAAGACCUGCUGGCUGCUGCUAUCAGCCCACAGCAAGGCAGGUUUGCUGUGUGGUCUGGGAGAACAGGUUGAGCUGCGGUCACCACUGAGCAAAAGGUGACAACUGCAGAUAAGGAGAGGGGCUGGGGGUCCUGCCCAGCACAGUCUUUCUCUGGCAGGAUGCAGUGACCUCAGAUAGAGCUGAUGUCGAGCAGUUUUGCUCCUAGCUCCCAUUGGGAUGGGAAAGCCUGGAGGCAGGCUGGGGCUGGAGGAAGCUGCAGCUGCAGCCCAGAGUGUUCUGGCUAAUCUCUUCUCAAAGCCGCUGAGAUCUGGACAGCCCCAGGCUGCCUAAGAGCAAGGGGAAGAGGAAAGGUUACAGAAAGGCCUGUGUGUCCUCUUCCUUCUUUCUUGCCUGGAGCAUGCAAGACUGAUUUGGGUCUGCUGGAUUUUUACAACCAGGGUGUGUUUCCACAGAACAAAUUGUGACUCUCAGCUCUGUAGGGCAAUUUAGAAGAAAAUCAGUCCUUCCUUGCCCCUGCUUGCCACAGCAGAGGGGUCUGUGUGUCAGGACCCCCCACCUGACACAAGGCCAGGGGCUGAAGGUGAUGGAGGCAGACGUGGGCAACCCAACCCGACGUUUCGGGGAUGCCAUGCUUCAAAACCUGCUACGCCUGUUGGCUCUUUUGUUUCGUGACAUUUAACACUGAGCGUUUACAAUCCAGAGCAAUUAUCUUUUCCUUCUGCUUUUAAGGAGGACUUUGGCAAAGGAAAACACUUAACUUUUGUCUCUUUUAUUUCUCCCCACCCCUGCCUCCCGCCUGGCUGCCGGUGGGAAGGAGGGAGGAGGGCGGAUGCCCCGGCGGUCUCUCGGCGGGGACAUGCUGCCAUCCAGCGGCUGCGGCCACGCGGCCCCGAGGAUGGGGAUGUCCCGGAGCACCGCGCCCCGCGCUGCCCCCUGGGGGCGGAGGAUGCUUCGAGGAGUGGUGUUGGGGUCCGACGCCCCCGGCUGAUCCAGCCCCCCUGCCCCACUGCUCUUGUAGCCCUUCAGCAAAAAUGUUCAUGGAAGAGAGAGUCACUUACAGCCAUUCAUGCAAUUAUGGUGGCUUGGAGGAAACAGAUGAUUUGACAUGGAGUAGAUUUGCAGCCAGGACCCCAUUGCAAGCAGGACCUGAGUUCUUUGGAAGAGUCAUGAGCUGGGGGUGAUUGCCCUGUGAAGAGAGUAAAGAGUUCCCCAGCAAUCUGCAUUCAACCUUUGAAGUACUUUGGAAGCUGUGUAUAGAAGAUACCAGGGCAAUUUUGUGAACUGGAAAUGUAAAUUAGCAGAGCCGAACCUUCCUUAUUAAUGCUUCAAAAGACAUCAAAUCCCCUAACAAAGGACAGUCAGUACAGAGCAGGGCUCUCUCAUUGAUCGACUUGUCAUUUUUCUAUCUCAGCAUCACACAGGAGUGGGGAAUACAGGUGCUUUCGGGAGAAAUCCCCCAGCUCACAAAUCUGCCUUCUGUCCAGAAAGUAGGUCUCACUGGUGCAUAAUAAACGUGACAGCCUGGUAAAUAUUGAGGUGAGAGAGCACAGAUCCAUUCUGGUUCAGCACACUUGUGCAGCUACCAAAGACGGCACCAGGUUUCUAUGUGAGAUUACAACCCCAUAAUUCCAACAGAAUCACAUCAAACCCUCUCAAGGGGACAAAAAGUUUGCACAACUACAAGUUCAGUUGGACCAAGCUCAAUGGAGGGACUGGGUGACAUGACCCCCCCAAAGCUGGCUGGCAGUUCCCUGGCUCUGAAGCAAAUGAGAUGAUGCUGCAGACUGCUUUCCUAGCUACUUAAAGAUAAAAAGUACUUUAGAAUAGAGAAUAAUCCUCCAAAUCCUUAACUGAGUUACGAUUCUAGAGAAAGGAACAGAUCGUAUUUAUGAGAUGAAGAAUUACCUUGUCGUGUUCACAUCUUUUAAACCUCUGGUAUGAAAUAUUCACUCUUCUGAAGCCAAUCAAUGUUUCACUGCCAAAGGAAGUGGGUGCAGGCUUUCAGGCACAGAAUAUCAAUGGCAAGUUAUGUGGUUGUACAAGUGAGAGCCAAAGAUCCUUUACUUUCUCUUGAGUUCAAAAGAGAAUAUGCAUCUAGUAUUGGAUUUUAGUAAAAGUGAGCAUCUUGUAGAAGGUGAAUUUUACCUUAACUGAAGAAGGGAAGAAGCAGGAUUACAACUUUCAAAAUCUUCAGGAAGUGAAACGUGUUCAGUAUAUGCUGCUCUAAGGUUGUUAUUACUACUUCCUACAUUCAGGAAACCAUCAAGUUUACAAUAGGAGCAAAUUCUCGGAUUGUCAGUUUAAAUUUUAAGUUUGAGGUUGCUAUUCAAUUUCAGGGUACCACUAUCUCAAGCCAGAGAUCUAAGCAUCAGAGAGCAAAAUCAAAUGGAGUCAGAGUAGAUUUAGCAGAACACUACAUUAUGGACUAAGGAGUCAAACAUAUGCAAACCUUCCGUCCUUACUAAGAAACAGCCUCACACCAUCCACCUGGGGGACUGUCUUCAAGACCUAUCCUCUCCGCUGCCAGGGUGGGAGAAGCUGUGCCAAUGGUGCAAGAAGAACCAAACACUGGACCACAGGCUGGAUGUAUUCCUUUCGUCUUGAACAUGGUACCAAGCAGACAUGCUGUCAGCUAGCAGUGUUGGAAGUCUUUGUUAGAGAAAGAGAGGGCACUCUCUGUAUUGUACAUGUUUAGGAACAGUGGUGUUACACAUUAACUAUCAGAAUGAAAUUUGCUUACACUAUUGUGAAAAAGGGUCUGCCUACAGUGGUCUCCAAUUUUAGAUUUGAUUUUCAGUCCACAUUCCUGACUUCAGUCCUCAUCAGUCAGUUUUGCCCCAGACUCUUGCAUUAUGAAGACUAAUUUACAUAUCCAAAUAAAUAGCUCUCAAAGGAGAAAUUCAGGCUGACAUAAUGUAACUCAUCCUCAUCCUUUUAGAGCUAUUUUUGCAUAAAAAAAAGAUUAGCAAACAAAACCAAGGAGGUAAAGAAAGAAAUGUCAUGGAACCUCUGGGAUUUUUGAGAGACUACUCAACUAUCCUGUACAAUCAUGAAGAUGGGGUUGUGGGGAGGGAGAUUUCCCAGUUGACACGUUUCUCCACUUGUGAACAUGUUGAAAGAUCACUCAUAUGUUUUCAAUGAAGUCACUGACAGUCAAGAAUGCUGGAGGCAACAGCUGUUGGGGAUUGAUUUACCCCAAGGCUAUUUAAUCUCUCAGCCUCUCAUAAGGAUGCUUGCUAGGGGGAAGGUAAAGAAGCACAACUAAAAAUUGUAUUGCUUUCAGCAGCUGUUGUUAUUCCUGAAAGCCAAGAAAGGGUCAAAAAUAUGUGAUGAAAGUCUUGGAUUGUUAUCAGCUAUAGGGGUGGCCAAAGCUUACUGCUUCCUUUGGGAGUAAAGUUUCCUUUGUGGAAUGAAAUACAGUAAAAUUACUAACUCCCUUAGGCUUAGUUGCCUGGGAGUUACCAUGAAGUGUAUAUGUGCCUUGGAAUUUCCAGAAUUAUAAGUAUAUUAUGUCAGUAGGAAUGAUACAGGUUGUGAAAGGCAGCCGUUGUGUUCAGUAACAGGAGCUGAGACAAUCGGGUAGCAAGAAAAGAUAACAUAAAACAUUCAUUAAAAUGGUGGAAAAAAAAUGACUGAAAAGCAGAGUGCAGCUGCUGUUAUGUGUCAGUUACUAUUUCAGAAUGGUCUCCUUCUGUGAAACACUGGACUUUUAUGAAAUCAUAUUGUCCAACCAUGCAUCAGACCCCUGAAGUGUAAGGUAUUUGCCUACCUCGCUGAAAAUAAGAUACAUCCCAGCAGAGAUUCUUUUUGUAACCAUGCAUUUUUCACUCUUGGCUAGCAGAACUUUUCAGAGAGAAUUAGCAUGGAUUGCAUUUUCACUUGGGAAGGAAGCAAAAGUUGCAGUUCUGUUUCACCUAGGAUUUCAUGGCUGUGAAUAUGGGUGAUGCCUCGUGGCUUUAAGAGUGUGUAAUCAGCCACAGAACUUUUGUCUUUUCCCUAAAGCAAUCCAAGAUUUUUGUGACCAUGCCCCAUCCUGAACAUUAGCAGUGUACAGCCUUACAUCUCUCUCAUCCCUCCCAAAUUCAUGGAGUGGCUCACUCAGGAUGUGUCUACCAGGGCUUUCCUUUGGUUCAAUAAUACACUUCUGAAGCAAAUCUCUCAUUAUCCCCACUUACUGUGCUUUGUAUCCCAUCAUGGAUCUGUUUUGGGAAGCCAGAUUUGUUCCAGAUGAAAUGAAAGUGGAAAGUGCUCUCCAGGAGCAUACCUCAUGUAUUGCAUCACAAAGGGCUCCAUGAAAAACUCCAGGCAAUGAGAGAAUGGGCCUGAAAGUCACAGCUAUCCUGGAAAUGGCUAUGUUCAGAGGAGGAUGAGUAUUCUUCAGGGCAGUGCUGUCUCCUUACACUAGCUGAGUUCUCAAGAGCAACACACAAGUCUGCAAUGACCAAAAAAAAAUAAAAAUAAAAAAAUUGAACACAGCAAACUUUGCUGAAUGUGGACCUAAAAACUCUUUAAAUAUUCUUUAGAUGCUGAAAAAAAAAAAGGCAAAGCUAAAGAAAAGAUAAUGCUGAAAAAUAAGUAGCGUGUUUGUUCAUAAAAAGUAUCUUUACACAAUUAACGGAAUCACAGUAUCAAAGAAUUGUAAAGGCUGGAAAAGGGACCUCUGGUGACGAUCAAGUCCAGGUCUCAUCACAGCACCUUGGGAUUAUUGCUUAGUCCUGAGGAUGCCCAGAACUUGGUGCAUAGCUAAAGUUCAUCCAACAAAUUAAAAACCUUUGGCUCUGAGAAAAAUGGAAAAGAGAAAUUUUGGGCAAGUGCUUUGGGACUACAAGGAAAGAAUAAUCAAAUUACUGAAAAUCCCUGUCCCACAAGUACUUACAAAAACAGAAUAGUAAUUUUUCUUGUGACUUUUCAGCACUUCUCCCUCUGGGAUAAAGUGAACAUGGGAAAGAGGAAAAAUGUAGAAAUUAAGACAAAUUAAUUAUGAACUGUGUCUGACAGAAUUCAAUAACUGUUUUUCUGCUGACUAUACCAAAGUUUGGAUUGGGCAGUUUUGGUCUUCAGAACAUUCGAUAUCUACACAGUAGUCUGACUAGACAGAUUCCCAAUUCCUGUUUUUAUACACCUGCCAAGCUGACAGGCAUUCUAUGAUGGAAUAUGCAAGUCUUGUAACACAAUGCACUUACCCAACAAAAAGUGUCAUGAAAAGAUUAUUUGAUUUUCUAACAGCAGUCUUAAACCACAAAAUAAACCAAACCAAAACAAAGCUCAAAGCUUAUGAAUUAUUCCUUAAAAAUCAAAACAUAUUAAAAAAACACAACCACCUUCCUCCCACCAAGAGACAAGGUAACGGUGGAAAAGCAGAAUAAUGAAAGCAUUUGAUACUUACACGUCUUUCACCCUAUGGCACUCUAACACUGUAUGCUUGUACUCACCAAGCUGAAGUGUAACCACACCUGGGCCAUGGAUACUCCUUCUCCUCGGAGGAACACCUGUACAAUUAUCUGUGUUCUUCUUGGUAGUAGCAUCAGGUACAAAAGGGGCCUUGCAAGGACCUGACUGAAGUUCCCACUAAUCUCACCAGCUGUACACCCCAGCUUUUUCAUAGGGACAAUCCCCAAUCACUGAAGGAAAAGGGAUUUGUUCAACUCAAGCUUCAAUGCUUAUAGAAGCAUUCAACAAAAAUCCAUCCAUGCAGGUCUUUAAGAUCUUCUUUCUCCUGUAAAUUUGAUUCUCUUUCAAUAUUUUGACUUCCAGGCAUCUUGAGAGGCCCUAGUGCAGGCUCCCUUCCCAUCUUGUAAAAAAAAGGGAAGAGAUUAUGCUAUUUUCAGCCACCAGAUAAAUAAACUUCUACAGUUUACUUGAAGUGUAUUAUUUUUUAAACCCAAAAUUGUCAUUUCUGCUUAUUUAGGAAAGUGUCCUUAGUUCUUCUGCAGAUCUCCUAGGCUAUGACACUGUGUAUUCAAGGACAAACCUUGCUACAGGAAACCUUUUAAAUCAACAAAUAAAGUGCCAGUGCAGGCACUGAAGCUAUGGAGAUGCUGUCAUAGAAUCAGUUGUAGAAUCGUUUGACUUGGAAGAGACCCUUAAAGGCCAUCUAGUCCAACUCCCCUGCAAUGAACAGGGACACCUACAGCUAGAGGAGGUGCUCAGAGCCCCAUCCAGCCUGACCUUGAAUGUCUCCAGGGAUGGGACAUCUACCACAUCUCUGGGCAACCUGUUCCAGUGCUUCAACAUCCUUACUGUAACAUAUUUCUUCCUUAUAUCCAAAUCCAAAUCUCCCCUCUUUUAGUCUGAAACCAUUUCCCCUUGUCCUAUCACAACAGACCUUCUUAUAGAGUUUGUCCCCUUCUUUCUUAUAACCUCUCCUGAGGUCACAAAACCUCUGAACCUUUCUUCAUAAAAAGUGGUUCAUAAAAGCACUGAAACCUUUCUUCAUCUCACCUAGCCAAGCUCCAAGACACUUCUCCUUUUUUUUUUUUAAAUGUUAGAGUUUCUUUUUGAGUAAAUCAGAUUCUGUUACUGUCUUACUACACAGAUGCAUGGACAUCAAUACAGGCAGUAGAGAGGAAGUCAGUGGAAGCAUUUUUAAAAAAGAAAAUAUAUAUUAAAAAAAAAAACAAAAAAAUGUUGACUUACAUUGAUUUAAAGUGAUUUAAAGAUUUAAAGGCUCAGUGUAAAGCUCACAUAGAAUAGCAAAGUCCCAAUGACAGCAAGUAGCAGUGUGUAGGCUUAGCAAAUGACCCAUCAUAUCGUGAAAUAUUUCAGUUUGUUUUCUCUGAGUUCAUAGAGCUUUGUCAAGAUAUAGCUACAGCAGAUGCCAUUAUAAAUAUCUGAGUUCAAGAUGUUACAAAGAUAAAGAACAUACUUCUCAGACCUUUUUCUUUUCAUAGACAUAUAUUUUUUUAAAACCAUCGUUCUCCAGUAGGACUGUCAUAAUUAGUUCUAAAGCCUGUGGAAAAAUAUAACUCAAUUUCACACAAAGAGUCAGGAUCAAGGCGUAAUCUGUGAGAUCUCUGGUCAUUUUAAAGCUUUCUCAUAAUACAGCCUCUUUCACACUGUUGAUGGAAGUCUUGGGACAAGAAGACAGUUGCUUCUGUCUUGUUCUUGGGUGUGAAAAUCAGUAGGAGAAUGUGAAAGGCUUAGAACAUACCAUCCCAGAGAACUGAGUCUCAGCUUGCAAAGGAGACUCCAGUUAGGCAAUGACAAAUUCCUUCCUCUCAUUAGAGACACGUUCCUCAGCAUCAGGGGCCUUCCCUGGAAUGUGGCUUUCAGCUCCAAGGUCAUUCUAAUGAUGGAAAAAGAACCCAAGAGAUCAUGACGGUCUAAAGCAAAAGCUUGUGAAGCAGCUUUCGCAGACUCUCCAAGCCACGUGUGAAGGAAUGAGCAGCAGCGUGCCUGGGGACACUGAGAAGCUGCAAGCUGUGUUCCUGCAGAGCAUGGAGAGGUCAUCUCCCGGGGCAAGGCAUGGAGAGGGUGAUAAGAAACCACCCACAUCACCUGCUGCUUCAAAAUCAGUGUCUGUGCAGAAGGAUGUUCUUCACAAAGAAAUAACAAAUUUUUGUGUCCCUUUCCAUAAAUGGUAAGGAUGCAUUAGGUGAUGGCAGAAAGCGAGGAAGUAGAUGUAGUUCCCAAACUCUGGGGCAUAAACACAACAAAGUAUAAAAGAAGGAGGAAAGAUACAGAGAGGGUAAAAAUAAACAUUUUGAUUCAUCUCAUCUUGUGAAUCACAAAUGACAGGCACAUGGAAACUCAAAGAACCACACUAGACCAGACAAUGCAUAAUUCAGAGCCACCAGGUACAUCAGAAACAAAAAACAGAGGUACAGAUAUGAGACAGGAUUAGUCUUGAAGUAGGACAUUGUUUCUAUAGAAGGAAGAUAAAAAUAAUGAAGGGUUCAUAGGAAGAUUUGCUGAAGAUACUGUUGGAAACUUAACUAAGAGGGCUGCUCCUAAAGUAAUACCUCCUAUUUUAUUAUGUUGGCCCAUGAUGUCAGAAGUGUCAGAAGUUGGUGGUAUGGAAGUAGAUGUUGAACCUUCCCACCAAUACUCUGUUACAUGUUUUUGCCAUGUGACAGAUGGCAGCACUCUGUGUUGGGGGCACUCUGACAGAAUGGUAUCUGACAUAGAAGUACAUAUGAAGCAAAGACAUGGAAUUGAAUUCCUCCAUGCAGAAAAAACAGCACCCACUGACAUUCAUCAGUGCUUGCUGAAUGUUUAUGGAGACCAAGCAGUGGACAUGAGAACAGGGAUGUGGUGGGUGGAGCAUUUCAGCAGUGGCAACAGUGAUGAGAAUGGCAAGCCACAUACCAGACUGCCAUUCACAUUUUUACCAGUGCGGCACACAGGCUCUUGUUCAUCACUGGUGAAAAUGCACAACUAAUGGUGGUGACUAUGUUGAAAAAUAGUAAUUUGUUGCUGACAAUUUGCUCUGUCAAAUAGUAUUAAUGUGCUCUUUGCAUCUGUUGUAUUUUCCAAGGAAAUAAAUAGGAAGCAUUAUUUUGGAACGGCCUACAUAGUUCUGACCUCUAUGCCAUGGAAGACAGUUCAGCUGUAUUUAGGAGAAAUAUAUUUUCUGAUUUGCACAUAAAGGCCUAAUCAAUUACAUAUUACUUGCAUAUAGCACUAACAUGUUUUGCUUUCCACUGUCACUGGCUGAACAGCAAAUCAGACAGCCUGAACUUCUGAUGGCAAAAUUCUGAAAUGUUCCUCUCAUCUUUUGGGAUAUUUUGGUCGUUAGGGGGAAAUAAGUUCCUAUAUUAGUAGAUCUCAAAGAAUCACAGAAUAAUUUGAGUUGGAAGGGACCCCAAAAGGUCACCUAGUCCAACUGCCCUGCAUUGAACAGGGUCACCUACAGCUAGAUCACAUUGCUUAGAUCCCCAUCCAGCCUGACCUUGAGGUUCUUCAGGGACAAAGCAUCCACCACCACCAAUGGGGCAACCCAUUCCAGUGAGUGAAGCAUUUUGUUGUUGAAAAUAAAAACACACAUUAUGUUACAUUAAAUGUGUGUAUAAGUAGAAAGUAUAAACUUAAACAAGUAUACAUUCAUUUAUAUAGAGUUACCUCAUUGGAGUCAGCACUCGUCUCAAACUGACAGCAAUGCCCUCUAAGA